UACGAAGGGGGCUAGCGUUGCUCGGAUUGACUGGGCGUAAAGGGCGCGUAGGCGGUUUGCACAGUUGGGCGUGAAAUUCCUGGGCUUAACCUGGGGGCUGCGUUCAAUACGUGUAGGCUUGAGUUCGGAAGAGGGUCGUGGAAUUCCCAGUGUAGAGGUGAAAUUCGUAGAUAUUGGGAAGAACACCGGUGGCGAAGGCGACUUACUGGACACAUAUUGACGCUGAGGUGCGAAAGCGUGGGGAGCAAACAGG
rnacentral:rRNA from 1 species